rnacentral:lncRNA from 1 species
UGCUACAUAGCCCCCUAAAAUUUAGUGUUUUACUUUAUUUUCAUGAUUCUUCCUUCAAAUGAAUUGUCUCACUUGCUGUGUUUCUUCUCUGACAUUUGGGCACCAUUGCCAUGUCUUGGUUGUGUUCUUCAUUCUGACCAUCUCUUUCACAGGUUUUGUCCACCGUUGUAAUAUCCUUGAUGUGCCCUAACACUUGUGUUUCUCUCCAGAACUCUCCUCUGACGUGAAUUUACUACCGUGUUUCACACAAUUUCAUGACCCUUGUUUCUCUCAAGAUUUUGAUAUCCUCCACUGUGCAUUUUUUCCAGCAUGUUUCAAACAAAUUCUAGCUCCAAGUUUUCUACAAGAAAUAAUCACCUGUCAUGCAUUUUAUAGCGUAUUUCAGAUAAAUUCUGGUCUCCGAGUUUCUUUCUGCGUUUAAAUCUCCACCAUGGAGCACUUUUGGCCUGUUUCAGAAAGAUUCCGCCUCUGAGCUUGAGUUCCAGCCUCUUAAGUUUCUGACAUGUUUCAGCCUUCUGCAAUUGACGCCACUACCAGGAAAUUUUUUUCCAGCAACAUCACUGCCAUCAAAACUGCUAUAUGUCAAUUUAUUAGUCCGCAAAAUCUUAGGACCAUCAAAGUUAAGAUGCACUCUCACAUGCUAUUAUUGGGCAUACAUGGUUUUCCAUGCAUCGCAGUCCUCCAUCACACGUGGCAAUGCAUCAUGUUCGACUUUGGUCUAUCUGACUCAUGCUUGAUGUGCAAUCCUCUGCUACACAUAGGAAUGCCUCAUGGCAAAUUUUGUUCUAUCUGACUCAUGCUUGAUGUGGCGCUACCUCAUCCUGAAUCUGCCAAUGGCUCAUCAGUUUCCAGGUUCAUGGCUCCUUAUUUAGUUUUUUUUCCCACUAUUUGGUUCAUUUUCUCUCUCCUCAUGUUGACCCAUGAUUGCCCUCUACUCAGAUCUUCCCUCUUUGGUUCAAAUCAUACACUAGGAUCAGAGAAAAUAACUUGGCCACAGCCUCAAAACUUCCCUAAAGAAACCAGCUUUGGGAGAUAAGGUUGGCUUAGUGGGGGGUGGGGAGGGGAGGCCGCGGGUUUGAAUCCCCCCACUGACAUUUCUUAGUAAGCUUUAGCUUGAAGGGGGAGUAUUAGAAUAUCAUAUCUUAGAAUAUCUUAAAUUAUCCUUUAGGAUUAGUUUUCCUAUUUUCCAUUAUCUCGUAGGAUUGGUGACCAUAUUUCUUUAUCUCAUUAUCUGUUUCCCUAAUUGAUUAGGAAAAUGAUUAGUAUAAAUAAGUUUUUAUAUACACAUGAAUACAAAUAUAAAAUACAGUCUACUAGAUUUGAUUACAUAACAGAAUAUUAUACAAAGUAUCUCUUCUCAUUAUCCUUUCCUCAUAAUCUCAACAACCUUGAAACUUGAAACUUAGGCUAUCACCUUUUUUUAUUGACAAAUGUUCGUUGUUAGUUUUUGUUAGCGAAGGGAUUCAAACCUGGGACUCCCCCCACCUAUCUCCCUUAGACCAACCUUAUAUCUCCACUCAAGCUAUGUAUCAACUUGACCUAUAGGAUAUAUCUAACGCAUUUGCAGCCUAGCAGCAAGAAAGGCUAAUGAUUGCUCUAGCUCUUGAUAUAAAAUUAUCAACGGUGAGCAAAGAGAAAUAAAAGAUUAAUGACUAAUGGGGAAC